CUUCUUUUGUUGGCAACUAGAACAUGGCACUAAUGUGGUACAACUUGAAUACGUCACACCAAUAUGAGACUAUGACCAGCCAUGCUGCAUGUCCAGUUCUUCGAGGACAUAAGUGGAUUUUAACGAAAUUGAUAAUAGAUCAACCCAAUAUUUUCCGAAGACGCUGUGGGCUUCAGCCAAAUGUUUCCCAAUUAGAAAUUGAAGAGGACAUGAAACGUAGAUAUAGAAUAUAAUUGUAUUCACUUUAUGUUACCAUCAAAUUCAGAUACAAUAUUCCGUUGUCAUUAAUACAUUUAUUUAUUGCC
rnacentral:sRNA from 1 species